rnacentral:rRNA from 1 species
UACGUAGGGUGCGAGCGUUAAUCGGAAUUACUGGGCGUAAAGGGUGCGCAGGCGGUUCUGCAAGUCAGGCGUGAAAGCCCCGGGCUUAACCUGGGAAUGGCGCUUGAAACUACAGGACUGGAGUAUGGCAGAGGGAGGUGGAAUUCCACGUGUAGCGGUGAAAUGCGUAGAUAUCUGGAGGAACACCGGUGGCGAAGGCGACGUCCUGGACCGGCAUUGACGCUGAGGCGCGAAAGCCAGGGGAGCAAACGGG